AGGGCACCACCAGGAGUGGAGCCUGCGGCUUAAUUUGACUCAACACGGGAAAACUCACCCGGCCCGGACACUGUAAGGAUUGACAGACUGAGAGCUCUUUCUUAAUUCAGUGGGUGGUGGUGCAUGGCCGUUCUUAGUUGGUGGAGCGAUUUGUCUGGUUAAUUCCGAUAACGAACGAGACUCUGGCCUAUUAAAUAGACGAGAUAUUACUCAGUAUCUCGCGCUUCUUAGAGGGACAAGCGGCGUCUAGUCGCAUGAAAAAGAGCAAUAACAGGUCUGUGAUGCCCUUAGAUGUCCGGGGCUGCACGCGCGCUACACUGAAAGAAUCAGUGGGCGUUUUACCUGGUUCGGAAGAACCGGGUAACCCAAGUAAUUUCUUUCGUGCUUGGGAUAGGGAAUUGCAAUUAUUUCCCUUAAACGAGGAAUUCCCAGUAAACGCGGGUCAUAAGCUCGUGUUGAUUACGUCCCUGCCCUUUGUACACACCGCCCGUCGCUACUACCGAUUGGAUGACUUAGUGA
rnacentral:rRNA from 1 species